rnacentral:rRNA from 1 species
AUACGUAGGGGGCGAGCGUUAUCCGGAUUUAUUGGGCGUAAAGCGUGUGUAGGCGGUUUGUUAAGUUUAAGAUUAAAGCCCGAGGCUUAACCUCGGUUCGUCUUAAAAACUGGCAGACUUGAGUGCAGUAGAGGCAAGUGGAAUUUCUAGUGUAGCGGUUAAAUGCGUAGAUAUUAGAAGGAACACCAUGGGCGAAGGCGGCUGGCUGGGCGGUUACUGUCGAUAAGACACGAAAGCGUGGGGAUCAAAUAGGAUGAGAUCCCCUGGUAGUCCACGCCGUAAACGAUGAGUACUAAGUGUCGGGUAACCGGUGCUGAAGUUAACACAUUAAGUACUCCGCCUGGGGCGUACGGUCGCAAGGCUGAAACUCAAAUGAAUUGACGGGG